UACGAAGGUGGCAAGCGUUGUUCGGAUUUACUGGGCGUACAGGGAGCGUAGGCGGUUCGGUAAGCCCUCUGUGAAAUCUCCAGGCUUAACCUGGAACAGUCGGAGGGGACUGCCGGGCUAGAGGACGGGAGAGGAGCGCGGAAUUCCAGGUGUAGCGGUGAAAUGCGUAGAUAUCUGGAGGAACACCGGUGGCGAAGGCGGCAUCCUGGACCGGCAUUGACGCUGAGGCGCGAAAGCCAGGGGAGCAAACGGG
rnacentral:rRNA from 1 species